rnacentral:rRNA from 1 species
UACGAAGGGGGCUAGCGUUGCUCGGAAUCACUGGGCGUAAAGCGCACGUAGGCGGCUUUUUAAGUCAGGGGUGAAAUCCUGGAGCUCAACUCCAGAACUGCCUUUGAUACUGGGAAGCUUGAGUCCGGGAGAGGUGAGUGGAACUCCGAGUGUAGAGGUGAAAUUCGUAGAUAUUCGCAAGAACACCAGUGGCGAAGGCGGCUUACUGGUCCGGUUCUGACGCUGAGGCGCGAAAGCGUGGGGAGCAAACAGG